CGAGUGAAGCGGGAAGAGCUCAAAUUUGUAAUCUGGCGGCCUCUGGCCGUCCGAGUUGUAGUCUGGAGAAGUGUUUUCUGUGCCGGACCGUGUACAAGUCCCUUGGAACAGGGCGUCAUAGAGGGUGAGAAUCCCGUCUCUGACACGGACUACCGGUGCUUUGUGAUGCGCUCUCGAAGAGUCGAGUUGUUUGGGAAUGCAGCUCAAAAUGGGUGGUAAAUUCCAUCUAAAGCUAAAUAUUGGCGAAAGACCGAUAGCGAACAAGUACCGUGAGGGAAAGAUGAAAAGCACUUUGGAAAGAGAGUUAAACAGUACGGAAAUUGUUGAAAGGGAAACGCUUGAAGUCAGUCGCGUCUGGUGGGACUCAGCCUUACUUCUGUAUGGUGCAUUUCCUAUUUGACGGGCCAGCAUCGAUUUCGGUCACUGGAGAAAGGUGGGGGGAACGUGGCACCCUCGGGUGUGUUAUAGCCCUCUAUCGUAUGCAGUGAUUGGGAUCGAGGAUCGCAGCACGCCUUAACGGUCGGGGUUCGCCCACGUAACGUGCUUAGGAUGCUGGCGUAAUGGCUUUAAGCGACCCGCCUUG
rnacentral:rRNA from 1 species